AGUGGUGUGAGUGGUCCUUUGACCUACGAUAUCAUUGAUUAUUCACAGUGAGGCCACUGAGUUUGACUGCAUGUUCUCUUGAUCUCAAGAUAUUCAAAUCUUUGCUGUGUAUGUUGGUUUCAAUAGAUUCAGAUUUGCUGUUUGGAAUAGGAUGCACCUAGAUAGAAUCUAUCGAUCUUGGUAGAAAAGAAGAAGUCCUAUGUGAUUUGCGAGACUAAGUUUAGAAAGUCUUUGACCAAAGCAAGUGUGAAUAUUAAAAAAGAGUUU
rnacentral:lncRNA from 1 species